rnacentral:rRNA from 1 species
AUUGAACGCUGGCGGAAUGCUUUACACAUGCAAGUCGAACGGCAGCACGGACUUCGGUCUGGUUGCGAGUGGCGAACGGGUGAGUAAUGUAUCGGAACGUGCCCAGUCGUGGGGGAUAACGUAGUGAAAAUUACGCUAAUACCGCAUACGGCCUAUGGAUGAAAGCGGGGGAUCGACAGACCUUGCGCUAUUGGAUCGGCCUAGAUCGGAUUAGGUAGUUGGUGGGGUAAAGGCCCACCAAGCCAACGAUCUGUAACUGGUCUGAGAGGACGACCAGCCACACUGGAACUGAGACACGGUCCAGACUCCUACGGGAGGCAGCAGUGGGGAAUUUUGGACAAUGGGCGAAAGCCUGAUCCAGCCAUUCCGCGUGCAGGAUGAAGGCCCUCGGGUUGUAAACUGCUUUUGUACAGAACGAAAAGGUUUCUACUAAUACUAUGAGCUCAUGACGGUACUGUAAGAAUAAGCACCGGCUAACUACGUGCCAGCCGCCGCGGUAA